rnacentral:rRNA from 1 species
UUGCUUCGGUAAYUGACCUAGCGGCGGACGGGUGAGUAAUACUUAGGAAUCUGCCUAUUAAUGGGGGACAACAUCUCGAAAGGGAUGCUAAUACCGCAUACGCCCUACGGGGGAAAGCAGGGGAUCACUUGUGACCUUGCGUUAAUAGAUGAGCCUAAGUCGGAUUAGCUAGUUGGUGGGGUAAAGGCCUACCAAGGCGACGAUCUGUAGCGGGUCUGAGAGGAUGAUCCGCCACACUGGGACUGAGACACGGCCCAGACUCCUACGGGAGGCAGCAGUGGGGAAUAUUGGACAAUGGGGGGAACCCUGAUCCAGCCAUGCCGCGUGUGUGAAGAAGGCCUUAUGGUUGUAAAGCACUUUAAGCGAGGAGGAGGCUCYYWURGUUAAUACCYAWRRUGAGUGGACGUUACUCGCAGAAUAAGCACCGGCUAACUCUGUGCCAGCAGCCGCGGUAAUACAGAGGGUGCGAGCGUUAAUCGGAUUUACUGGGCGUAAAGCGUGCGUAGGCGGCUUUUUAAGUCGGAUGUGAAAUCCCCGAGCUUAACUUGGGAAUUGCAUUCGAUACUGGGAAGCUAGAGUAUGGGAGAGGAUGGUAGA